UACGUAGGGUGCAAGCGUUGUCCGGAAUUAUUGGGCGUAAAGAGCUCGUAGGCGGUUUGUUGCGUCGGCUGUGAAAUCCCGAGGCUCAACCUCGGGUCUGCAGUCGAUACGAGCAAACUAGAGUGUUGCAGGGGAGACUGGAAUUCCUGGUGUAGCGGUGAAAUGCGCAGAUAUCAGGAAGAACACCGAUGGCGAAGGCAGCUCUCUGGGACGGUACUGACGCUGAGACGCGAAAGCGUGGGGAGCGAACAGG
rnacentral:rRNA from 1 species